rnacentral:rRNA from 1 species
AGAGGGUGAAACUCCCGUCCGCCUGGUAGAAUGAGUCUUUGUCAACGAGUCGAGUUGUUUGGGAUUGCAGCUCUAAUUUGGUGGUAAAUUCCAUCUAAAGCUAAAUAUUGGUGGGAGACCGAUAGCGUACAAGUACCGUGAGGGAAAGAUGCAAAGAACUUUGAAAAGAGAGUUAAAGAGUACCUGAGAUUGCUGAAACGGAAGCGAAGGAAACCAGUGUUUGUUGGUUCAUAUUUCUUUGGCCACUUGUGGUUUGGGCGCUGUGAGCUUGCGUGGGUUUGGGUUGAUUGAUCCCUUUGGAAGAGCGCAGUCAGAGUUGA